AUUGGACGCUGGCGGCAGGCUUAACACAUGCAAGUCGAGCGGGGACUUCGGUCCUAGCGGCGAACGGGUGAGAAAUGCUUGGGAAUCUGCCCAGUAGCGGGGGAUAACGUUUCGAAAGGAACGCUAAUACCGCAUACGCCCUACGGGGGAAAGGGGGGGAUCUUCGGACCUCUCACUAUUGGAUGAGCCCAAGUCGGAUUAGCUAGUUGGUGGGGUAAAGGCCUACCAAGGCGACGAUCCGUUGCUGGUCUGAGAGGAUGAUCAGCCACACUGGAACUGAGACACGGUCCAGACUCCUACGGGAGGCAGCAGUGGGGAAUAUUGGACAAUGGGCGAAAGCCUGAUCCAGCCAUGCCGCGUGUGUGAAGAAGGCCUUCGGGUUGUAAAGCACUUUAAGCGAGGAGGAAUGGCUGAGGGUUAAUAACCUUCAGCAGUGACGUUACUCGCAGAAUGAGCACCGGCUAACCCUGUGCCAGCCGCCGCGGUAAUAC
rnacentral:rRNA from 1 species